rnacentral:rRNA from 1 species
GGGGAAUAUUGCACAAUGGGCGCAAGCCUGAUGCAGCAACGCCGCGUGAGGGAUGACGGCCAUCGGGUUGUAAACCUCUUUUAGCAGGGAAGAAGCGAAAGUGACGGUACCUGCAGAAAAAGCACCGGCUAACUACGUGCCAGCAGCCGCGGUAAUACGUAGGGUGCAAGCGUUGUCCGGAAUUAUUGGGCGUAAAGAGCUCGUAGGCGGUCUGUCGCGUCUGCUGUGAAAACUGGAGGCUCAACCUCCAGCCUGCAGUGGGUACGGGCAGACUAGAGUGCGGUAGGGGCGAAUGGAACUCCUGGUGUAGCGGUGGAAUGCGCAGAUAUCAGGAAGAACACCGAUGGCGAAGGCAGUUCUCUGGGCCGUAACUGACGCUGAGGAGCGAAAGCGUGGGGAGCGAAC